GACGAACGCUGGCGGCGUGCCUAAUACAUGCAAGUUGAGCGCUGAAGGUUGGUACUUGUACCAACUGGAUGAGCAGCGAACGGGUGAGUAACGCGUGGGGAAUCUGCCUUUGAGCGGGGGACAACAUUUGGAAACGAAUGCUAAUACCGCAUAAAAACUUUAAACACAAGUUUUAAGUUUGAAAGAUGCAAUUGCAUCACUCAAAGAUGAUCCCGCGUUGUAUUAGCUAGUUGGUGAGGUAAAGGCUCACCAAGGCGAUGAUACAUAGCCGACCUGAGAGGGUGAUCGGCCACAUUGGGACUGAGACACGGCCCAAACUCCUACGGGAGGCAGCAGUAGGGAAUCUUCGGCAAUAGACGAAAGGCUGAACGAGCAACGCCGCGUGAGGGAAGAAGGGUUUCGGAUCGUAAAACUCUGUUGGUAGAGAAGAACGUUGGUGAGAGUGGAAAGCUCAUCAAGUGACGGUAACUACCCAGAAAGGGACGGCUAACUACGUG
rnacentral:rRNA from 1 species